UGAUUCCCCUCUAGAAGUUUUGUGGUCUCCCUCUUGGCCCUGGUAGCAAAUAUCCUUUCAUCCUUCUAAGAAGCUUAGAAGCUCUGUAACCUGAGUAUGAGAGAAGGAAAAAAAAAAAAAAAGAAGAGACAGAAGAUGAGAGAACAUAAAUGUACAAGUUUUCUUCUAUGAAGUAAUUGGCUUCCUUUCUUCACUUUUGAAAAAAUGACUGGCAAGUUCCUGAGUCUAAAUAACCAUGGACUGGACGUUGUUUUUUUCAGCAGCACCUAGAUUACUGUGUUGUUGAAUAACUGGGAGAAGUCUUCUGACUCCAUGUCCAAGCAGCUGCUUCCUCUCUGUCCUCAUGUUCACCUGAAACUCCAUUGUACUCCAGAAUUUAUGGGAAGACUGGAAUGCCACGUGGAAAAGUGCUCUGUAGCCAUGCAGAGCUCUACAGAGGUCACCAAUGGCAGUGAUAGAACUGAGUUCUAGAAGGUGAUUUUGCACCUAGGUCUUUGACAAAUGGCCUUGGCAACCCAGUUUCAAAUGUUGGAGGGCUGGCAAAAAAGCAUGUCAUGAGAACUCUCCUCUGAAUACUUUAUUGAUGAAAUGUCUUCACCACUACCAGAAUUGUCCGGGGAAAGUAUGAGACUUGCUUGACAUGUUUUGCAAGCUGCAAUUAAAUAUUCACAGAGCAA